AUUGAACGCUGGCGGUAGGCCUAACACAUGCAAGUCGAGCGGAGCGGCGGACGGGUGAGUAAUGCCUAGGAAUCUGCAUGGUAGUGGGGGAUAACGUCCGGAAAAGGGCGCUAAUACUGCUUACUAUCAGAUGAGCCUAGGUCGGCUUAGCUAGUUGGUGGGGUAAAGGCCUACCAAGGCGCUGAUCCGUAACUGGUCUGAGAGGAUGACCAGUCACACUGGAACUGAGAAACGGUCCAUACUCCUACGGGAGGAAGCAGUGGGGAAUAUUGGACAAUUGGCGAAAGCCUGAUCCAGCCAUGCCGCGUGUGUGAAGAAGGUCUUCGGAUUUUAAAGCACUUUAAGUUGGGAGGCGUUACCAACAGAAUAAGCACCGGCUAACUUCGUGCCAGCAGCCGCGGUAAUAC
rnacentral:rRNA from 1 species